CAAAAUGUCUGGAACUACACUUAAAUUAUAGUAAAGAGGCAUAAAUUAAUGAAAUAAAUAAAAAAAAAUAUAGGAAAAAUUUUGAGAAAAAUAAAUUAAAGUUUAGAGAAUUUAUAAAUUGGUAUAAAAUAAUAAAAAUAACCCGAUGAGUACCAUGAAAGGCAUUUUGGUCAUUUUACCCCUAGAGGUGAAUUUUGACUUAAAUGUCAAAUUAAAAUUUGGAAAUAGAAUAAUUAACAUAAAUUAAUUUUAUGAAUUUGAAUUUGGAAAAUGGAAAGGGCAAGAAAAGAAAAGGAAAGAAAAGAAAAGAAAGGAAAAUAAAAAGACUUAUGGCAUUUAAAGAAAAGAAAAAAAUAAGCUUAUGAAAAUUUAAAACAAAAUUAAGUACAAUAAAAAUAUAAAUAUAUAAAGCACAAGAGACAAAACCCACCUACUUUUCUCUCCAUCUUCUUCCCCACUCUCCCUCUCUCUUGCCGUCCACCCUUGUGCUCCCUCUCCACCAUUUUUGUCAAGCUUUCAAGCUUGAUUUUCCAAGCUUCCACACACCAAAACUUAUAACUCCCUUUACAAAAAAUACUCCCUACACCCUAAGGAAGCUUUAGAUACCCAUUUGAAGAAGAGAAAUUGAAGUUUGGCAAGACACCCAAAAAGGUACUGGAGAUCAGCCGCAGCAGCAGCACCAGUAGUACACUGACAGAGCUUUGAUCAGAUCUGCCAUUGUCCAGAGUCACCUCACCGGUCUGUUGUAUUUUGGUAGGGCCCAUGUAUAGACUAGUAUUUUGGUUCAUUAUGUUUAGUCAUGAUGUAAUUACUAGUUUAUGAUGUAUUUCAUUUUGGACUUGUAAUUAAACUUUGAGAUUGAAAUGAAAACUUGUAAUUUAUUAUC